UCCUUUUGUAGAUAAUUUAAGGUCUAGCCUGCCCACUGAAAUUUUAAAUGGCCGUGGUAUUUUGACCGUGCUAAGGUAGCAUAAUCAUUAGUUUUUUAAUUAAAAACUGGAAUGAAAGGUUGGAUGAGAAAAUAGCUGUCUCUAUUGAAUUUAAUUAGAAUUUUAUUUUUAAGUUAAAAAGCUUAAUUAUUAUUAAAAGACGAGAAGACCCUAUAGAGUUUGAUUAUUUAAUAAAAAUUAUAUUUUAGUAUUAAUUUAUUUAUUUUAUUAUAUAAAUUAAUUGGGGUGAUUGAAAAAUUUAAUUAACUUUUUUUAUUUAAGAACAUUAAUUUAUGAAUAAAUGAUCCAAUAUUUUUGAUUAUAAGAUAAAAUUACCUUAGGGAUAACAGCGUAAUUUUUUUAGAAAGUUCAUAUUAAAAAAAAAGAUUGCGACCUCGAUGUUGGAUUAAAAUAAAUUUUUGGUGUAGAAGCUAAAAUAUUAGGUCUGUUCGACCUUUAAAAUUUUACAUGAU
rnacentral:rRNA from 1 species